UAAUACAUAAGUAAUCUGCCCUAGACAGGGGGAUAACUAUUGGAAACGAUAGCUAAGACCGCAUAGGUACGGACACUGCAUGGUGACCGUAUUAAAAGUGCCUCAAAGCACUGGUAGAGGAUGGACUUAUGGCGCAUUAGCUGGUUGGCGGGGUAACGGCCCACCAAGGCGACGAUGCGUAGCCGACCUGAGAGGGUGACCGGCCACACUGGGACUGAGACACGGCCCAG
rnacentral:rRNA from 1 species